AACGAACGCUGGCGGCAUGCCUAACACAUGCAAGUCGAACGAGACCUUCGGGUCUAGUGGCGCACGGGUGCGUAACGCGUGGGAAUCUGCCCUUGGGUUCGGAAUAACAGUUGGAAACGACUGCUAAUACCGGAUGAUGACGUAAGUCCAAAGAUUUAUCGCCCAAGGAUGAGCCCGCGUAGGAUUAGCUAGUUGGUGAGGUAAAGGCUCACCAAGGCGACGAUCCUUAGCUGGUCUGAGAGGAUGAUCAGCCACACUGGGACUGAGACACGGCCCAGACUCCUACGGGAGGCAGCAGUGGGGAAUAUUGGACAAUGGGCGAAAGCCUGAUCCAGCAAUGCCGCGUGAGUGAUGAAGGCCUUAGGGUUGUAAAGCUCUUUUACCCGAGAUGAUAGUGACAGUACCGGGAGAAUAAGCUCCGGCUAACUACGUG
rnacentral:rRNA from 1 species